AGAGUUUGAUCCUGGCUCAGGAUGAACGCUGGCGGCGUGCCUAACACAUGCAAGUCGAGCGAUUCUCUUCGGAGAAGAGCGGCGGACGGGUGAGUAACGCGUGGGUAACCUGCCCUGUACACACGGAUAACAUACCGAAAGGUAUGCUAAUACGAGAUAAUAUGCUUUUAUCGCAUGGUAGAAGUAUCAAAGCUCCGGCGGUACAGGAUGGACCCGCGUCUGAUUAGCUAGUUGGUAAGGUAACGGCUUACCAAGGCGACGAUCAGUAGCCGACCUGAGAGGGUGAUCGGCCACAUUGGAACUGAGACACGGUCCAAACUCCUACGGGAGGCAGCAGUGGGGAAUAUUGCACAAUGGGCGAAAGCCUGAUGCAGCAACGCCGCGUGAGCGAUGAAGGCCUUCGGGUCGUAAAGCUCUGUCCUCAAGGAAGAUAAUGACGGUACUUGAGGAGGAAGCCCCGGCUAACUACGUGCCAGCAGCCGCGGUAAUACGUAGGGGGCUAGCGUUAUCCGGAAUUACUGGGCGUAAAGGGUGCGUAGGUGGUUUCUUAAGUCAGAGGUGAAAGGCUACGGCUCAACCGUAGUAAGCCUUUGAAACUGGGAAACUUGAGUGCAGGAGAGGAGAGUGGAAUUCCUAGUGUAGCGGUGAAAUGCGUAGAUAUUAGGAGGAACACCAGUUGCGAAGGCGGCUCUCUGGACUGUAACUGACACUGAGGCACGAAAGCGUGGGGAGCAAACAGGAUUAGAUACCCUGGUAGUCCACGCCGUAAAC
rnacentral:rRNA from 1 species